AUGGCUCUUGUCAAGUCGGUUUUAUCCGCCCUCGCGGUAUACUUAAUCACUUCGCUCAUUGUGCCGCCUUCCACUCCCCACAACCUCAACAAGCUGGAACACGCUUUCCUUUGGUCGGGUACGGACAAGACUUCUGGCGCCGAGUGCAAGGUCAAUUGGGACUUGGUUUGUCGGCCUCUCACGUAUGGUGGCCUAGCCUGCUCAGCACAGAAAAAAAAUCUCAAGUGCCCUAAGGCUUCGUUGGCUAUGGUUCGAGUGGAAGGAGCCAUCAAAGAUGUGGGCCGGGAUGGGCAACCCCUAUGA
rnacentral:rRNA from 1 species